GACGAACGCUGGCGGCGUGCUUAACACAUGCAAGUCGAACGGAAAGGCCCCGCUUUUGUGGGGUGCUCGAGUGGCGAACGGGUGAGUAACACGUGAGUAACCUGCCCUUGACUUUGGGAUAACUUCAGGAAACUGGGGCUAAUACCGGAUAGGAGCUCCUGCUGCAUGGUGGGGGUUGGAAAGUUUCGGCGGUUGGGGAUGGACUCGCGGCUUAUCAGCUUGUUGGUGGGGUAGUGGCUUACCAAGGCUUUGACGGGUAGCCGGCCUGAGAGGGUGACCGGCCCCAUUGGGACUGAGAUACGGCCCAGACUCCUACGGGAGGCAGCAGUGGGGAAUAUUGCACAAUGGGCGGAAGCCUGAUGCAGCAACGCCGCGUGCGGGAUGACGGCCUUCGGGUUGUAAACCGCUUUCGCCUGUGACGAAGCGUGAGUGACGGUAAUGGGUAAAGAAGCACCGGCUAACUACGUG
rnacentral:rRNA from 1 species